rnacentral:lncRNA from 1 species
AGAACUUCCAGCUUCUGCUGAUGGUGUAGGCAUCUGGAAAAUGUGUCUUUAUUAAAAUUACAUUUAAAAACGAGUGAUAUUCAGGGUCAUGACUUUCUGAACCCAUCAGAGAGCUGAAUUGCAGGGCAAUUAAAUAGUUUAAAAUGAAGGAAAGAGAGGUGCCUCCUACAAUAACAGAGAUGGGCUGCAAACAUUGGAUGACCUGUGGCAGAGCACGGAAAGAAGGCAAGGAUGACAGCUACAUGCAGACAAGGUCUCCAGAUUUGCCACCCAUGCUGAGUGCCGUGGUGUGAUCAUGGCUUAUUUCAACCUCAACCUCCCCCACUCAAGCGAUCCUCCUGCCUCAGCCUCUGGAGUAGCUGGGACUACAGGCACGCACCACCACACCCAGCCAUAAUUUGCCUCUUGCUGUAACUAAAAGGUCACAAAAACAAAGAAUUCUAAAAAAUCUUCUUCUUAAGUGCUGAAUACAUAUAGGAACUACAGUUCUCAGACCUGCAGUGAGUUCUGACCAAUGGAAUUCAGUGGGAUGAUAGAUGCUGCCUUUGAAGCCACCCCAUCAACUGGCUCAUCUCCUCCUGUCUCAGCUCUUUCUCCUGCUGCAUCCUGAUGCAGGACCACUGCACAACCUCACAAACCUUAUGUGGAAAGUAGUGGAGCCACCAGAUGUUAUGGGUAUCCUUUAAUGGAGAACUUUACACUACUUUGAAAUGACAGUUUUAUACUUUUCAUAAGAAAGAAAUAAACUUCCAUUGUACUAAGCCACUGUGUUUUGGGCUUUGUUGGUUAAAUGGUGAGCAAUAUCCUAACGAUUGCACUGAAACACCACUUCUCCACCAUGGGAGCAAUGGAACUUAGAAUUGUAGAGUGAACAAGGUGGAUGACAAGGAAAAUAAUGGGAGCAGGCAUUUUAUAUAUACAAUUAUGGAAAGCACACCAGAGUCUUCUUUCUUUUAAUGUAGCUGCUAUGCUCCUCGGAUCUUCCAGUUAGAAAUGUGUUCUAGGAGAUACUCAGAACUGAUCUUCGAGGUAGAUUGACUCUAGGUGGGUUAAGGUCUGUGACUACUGUGUUCACUCAGCAUGCUGGGGCUCUGAGGCAGAAUUAAAUAAAAAUAAUCACCAUUACUCCUAGAUGGCAUGUCUAAUGUGCCUAAAUUUAGGAUAAAUGGCUAACUGUACAUACACACACACACACACACACACACACACACACACACACAGAGGCACACUUAUGUAGCAUGUCAGUUAUAUAAUACAAGAUAUUUCACUAACCAGAAAAUAAACAAAAGAAGCCAAAAUGUGACUCAUUCCUGGUGGUUCCCGGGAUGGCUUUAUAGUUAUGACCCAGACUGGGUAACCUGUUGUCAGCAAUCAGAAUGUGGUAUUAAUUAGAAGUACUAAGCUGAGGGAUUACCAGCCCCCGGGCCAGAAGCAGAAUCUAUAAUAUUUAAACAACAAUAUGUGAGUAGUGUAAGUAUUAGCUCAAAAAUCAUUUGUUUUUAGAAAAAGGAAAUUAGGAAUUGCCUGCCUGUGUUACAAUUUUAAUGUCGUGAUUCCUUUUGUCCAGCUGAUGCUGUGUCUGCUGAUGUGGCAGCACCUUGCCUGGGCUGUUGUGAUGGCUCAUUCGUUCCUCAGCAGUUUCAAAGUGGCUAAUGAAAUUCAGGCAACCUCCCCUCAGAGUUUCUUGGUCCACCAGUUCUUCUAGUUUUUGUUGUUUUGUUUUAUUUUGAUUUGCUUUUACAUUUCCUUACAUUUAUUAUGGAUGAAUAGCAAUUAAGAUCUUCAAGGACAGAGUGGGAAAAAUAAAAUUUAUUGUUUUCUAAUGUUCAAGGAUUUUAAAUAAAUUGUUUUGGGAGCUGUAGAAUAAGAAUUUUAAUAACCCUAUGGUCGUUGUUAUAAUGCUAAAGAUAAUUUAAACUUGUACAAUAGAUACAUAUUUGGUACUUUCUAAUACAUUAUUACUGUAUCAUCCAUCAUAGAUUGAUUUCUAGUGUAAAUAGAAUGUAAUUCUGUUUAGGUAUGGAACAAAUUACUUCCGCCAUAAUGGUAUAAAUAAUUGUGAGAGAAAUUGAUUUAUAAGAAAGAAGUGUGAUCCUAGAAUCCAAAUAUAUUAGUGCAAGAAUUUACAGGUAUUCUAAAAUAGUUUCUUUACCCUAUAGGUGAAAUCUCAAAUCUGGUUUCAGAUUCCUCAGCAAUGUUUCUUGAUCUUAUCUAUCCAAAAAUACAUCAUUAGUUACCAGUACUUCUUUUGCAUUCUAGUCCAUUAUUCUCACGGAGCAUUUCAGGACUAUUUUCAAAUUUUAAUUUAACUUUCUUCCACCAACCAUAAAAUAUCCUUACUGCUAUCUCAAUCAAUUAAUCUUCCUAGCCCCUUCUUAUCUCUAUUUAUUUUUAUAAAACAUGUAUAGCUGCAACCACACAAAUACAACAACAAAAAAUGCGGACAUUUAUUUUAGCAAAAUUUACAUAUAAAUAUUGUUAACAUAAAAUGUGAUUUAGACAGAAAAAGACCACCCAAUUUUUUAUUUGAUCCUAUUGGCAUUAUGGAUUAGGAUUUAUAGUGAAAUUUAUGCUGAAUGAAAAUGAUUUAAGUUCUGAAAAUGUCACAUGAAAAAAUAAUAACCUAUUCAUUGAACAUGAGUAGGUACUAUUGUAUAUGCAUAUGUAUACGUAUACGUAUACGUAUAUGUAUAUAAGCCUGUGUGAAUAUUUGUAGCAACUUGGUUCAUAAUUACUAAAAAAUAAGAUAUCCUCCUUACCUUUUUAAUAUCUGUAGGACAUGUAGUUAUAGUUUCUUUUUCAAUCCUGAUAUUGGUAAUUUGUGUUUUCUCCUUUUCUUUUUCUUGUUCUGCCUCACUAAAAUUAUUGGUUUAAUUAAUUUUUAAGAAAAUCACUUUUAGCUUUUUUUUCUUUUUAUGUUUAACAGCUUUAUUGAGAUAUAAUUCAUAUACCAUAAAGCUCACCCACUGUAAGUCUACCACUUGUCUUAGUCCACUUGGGCUGCUAUAACAACAAUUCCAGAAACUGGCUGGUUUGUAAAGAACAUAAAUUUAUUUAUUACAGUUCUAGAAGCUGGGAAGUUCAAGACGGAAUGAAUUAACAGCCUGUCAUAUACCCAUACAAUGGAAUACUUAGUAUUCAAAAAGAAAAAGAAAAAUACUAUCAAUUUACACAACAAUUUGAAUGAAUUUUAAAUGCAUUUUGUUAGGUGAAACAAUCUAAACCCAGAAGGCCACAUAUAGCAUGAUUUCAUUUGUAUGACAAUAAGAAAAAAAUCAAAAUGAUAGAGGCAGAAUAUAAUUCAGCGGUUAGUGAGAAUAAAGGGAUUAAUUCUAAAGAAAAUGUUUAUAAUAAAAACACUGUUCUGUAUGAUAUAAUGGUGCUUGAUAAAAACUACAUUUGUUUGUCAAAACCAAUAGAAAUGUACAUUAUACAUUUUACUGUGUACAAUUUUUUAAAAAGCAGGAUGUCAGUGGAUCCAAGAAUAAAAUGUACUCUGCAAAAAAUUAGCCUAAAUGCAUUAAAUAUGUCACUUAAGAGGGCGUAGAGAAAGGAAGUGACCUAAAUUCCUUUGGAAAACAGUAUCUCCAGUGAACACCAGGAAGCUAAGAAUAAAAGAAACUGUACAAAAACAUUGUACCCUAGUUGGCAAACUUUCUUCUUACAGGGAUAUAUGUUGCCAAUUCUGAAACUAUUUUACACAUAUACUAGAGUUGAAGAAAUAAGGAAAUAAAUCAUAAAUAACAGGGGCUAGGAUUCUCACUUUCAGAAGAAGAAGUUACUCAUAAACAUCAUGGACAAAUAAAAUCAAUCCUAUGGUGCUGAAUUAGCUUUGGAAGUAUCAGUAUAAGCUCAUUUAUCUUAAUGUAUAUUUAGAUAACACACAAAUAAAUACAAAUAUGAAUGUAUACCUGGGCUGCUAUACAUACCUGUAUCUCUUAGCUCUGUUUGCCAAGAGUGCCUAGAAGCAGUGAGCCCCCAGCAGCAAUGAACACGCCUAGUGCCCGGAUUUUGGUUUCUAAAUGCCACCCUCCAAUUAAAAGAAACAGAAAUUUUGGAAGAAGAGCUGAUUUUAGAGUUGGGAUGAUAAAUACACGAUGAGCUUGUAGUAUCUUGUUAUGUCAGAAAGUAAGAUGUGCUUUGUUUCUACCAAAGAAAGAAAGAAAGAAAAAAGAUAGAGGCAUUUCUAAAGGACACAGAAGAUAACCUAAAAAAAUCCCUCAAUGUACAAAUCUAGAAUUUGAAUUUGAAUAAUAAUAAUAAUGGUAUUGUUGUAGAGAUCUCAAAGAAUGAAAUAUUCAUUUCAAAGAAUGAAAGUUCAUAUUGCUGUAAAUAAGUGAUUAAAUAAAUAUAUUGGCAAAAGACACAAUUCUUUACAGGAAAAUUCAAAUAAAAUAUGAAAAUAACUUCCUUCCAAACACCAUGAGGUGUAGCUUAAUUCCUCUUUCCUGGAGUGUGAGUUUGACUUAGUGAUUCUCUUUUCAAGGACAUAGUCUGGAAAGUUAGGAUAGUAACUUUAUGCCAGACAAUGCCUUAAUCAAGUGACCAAGGUGAAUGCUGUGUGAUAAGUCAUGCUGUGUUGGUGUCACAUAUUCUCACAUUUUAUGUGAUAGAGACACUUCAUCUCUAUGAUGCUCUGAAAAACAACCUAUAGCUCCAAUAUAGCCAUGAUAAAACUUCAGAGACUCAAACUGAGGGACAUUCUACAAAAUGCCUGAACCAUACUCUUCAAAAUUCUCAAGGUUAUGUAAACAGGAAGAUUGAGAAAUUUUCACAGACUGGAAACUAAGGAGACAUGACGAUUGAAUUCAAUGCAGUCUCUUAAGUCAGAUCCUGGAGAAAUAAAAGGAUAUUAAUCGGGAAGCUCAUAAAAUCUAAAGAUGCUGUUUAGGUAAUAGUAUUAUGCCAAUGGUAAUUUUUUAAUUUUGCAUUAAUUUAAUAAUUUUGGAUUACAGUUGUGUAAAAUGUUAACAUUAGGGGAAGCUAAGGGAACGUCCCUGGGAACUCUUCAUACUAUCUUUGCAAUUCUUCAGUGAAUCUAGCAUUAUUCAAAAAUUUUUUAAAAGUUUAAAAUGUCUGAAAAGUAUAUUUCUUAUAUAUCAAGUACAACAUGUUUAUAAUUUGAGAAACUUUAAAUAUAUGUCAUGGAAAUGACCUGAGAUGAUUAUCACCCUGCAUGUUCAGGGCUUCAAUGUGAGUUUAGUUUAUGCAUUAAGUCCUCUAAAGAAAGCAACUAUAAAUAUUAAUCAGAACUCUUCUCUGACCUAUAUCAUAAUUUAAUAUAACAUUCUACAUUUAGAAGGGAACUUAAAUAAAAUCUUUUCAAAUUCCUUAUACAAUAUUGUAAAGAUCUCUUUCAAUGCUUACAGACACAGGCAUGUGUCAUUAUCCAACACUCGGUUCAGAAAAUCUUUUUAUUGAGCUAACACAAAUAUGAAUUUCAUUUUUAUCCACUAUGUCACUCUAAGCUUCUUAUUUUGACAGAAAAUAAAUCAAUUAAAUAGCUGUAGCACUUGUAUGUGCACAUCACAAGGGUAAAUAAUCCCAAGCAUUUUUUGUUUGUUUCAAGAACCCUUGUCACUCUUUAAACUGCAUUUAAAAAUCUUUAUGUAUUCCUCACAGUGUCUUACAAUUGGAACGAAAUGUAUUAUACCCAUUGUUGUUUGAUUGAUCAAGAUUUAAGAGGAACCAGAGAGCUCUUAUCUACAUAUUUUCAUUCUGUACCAUAACCUAAAUUACCAUAAGCUCAUCACACUAUUGAAAAAUAUUGAUGUUGUAUACUCAAAUUACUUCCACCUAUAUUUCCUAUAAGUAUUUUGAUCCCACACUUUUGAAUUAGUUUUUCCUAGAAUGAAUAAAGCUUUUUAGUUAUUGUCAUUAUACGAUUCAUCUUAUUGUUUUGCCUUUCAAAAUUAUUUUGAAUAAUUAUAUUCCAUUUGUUUCAUAAUCUUAAAGAUAGAAUGUUAUCAAUGCCCUCAGCUGAAUCAUAGAUAAUAAUAACUGUGGGUGAAGGACAGAAUUACAAAAUACAACUUGUGCGAUUCUCCUCCAUGUUAAAGUCUACUGUCUUGGAAUUUACUAAGAAUGAACCAGUCUAACAGUGUAUGUAGCAUACAUGCUUCCAUUUUUUUCAUUAACUUAAGAGAAAUAGUAUUCAAUCCUUUGGUGAAAUUCGAUGUCUACCAAAUGUGUGUCUGUCUAGUACUGAUUACAAGAUUAUAAAAAUAUAAGUUAAAUGUACUCUGUGUUAGAGAAUAGAUGUUUGUCCCUAGUGAUGGAAAGUGCUUGUGUGUGUGUGUGUGUGUGUGUGUGUGUGUGUGUGUGAAUAUAUUUUAAUAACCAAAGCUAGAUAUUGGGCAUGAUUACAUCAGAGUGACUGGUAUAGAUCUAUAGAAUCUAUGCAAUCUACCUUCUGUCUUUCCAAAGAUAUAACAACUAAUUUUGUCCUUUUUAGACUAAAACUUUAUUUCACAUAAUCUAUUAUUUUUCAAGAUCAUUGACAUUGUUUUAGAAAUAUAUUUUUGUGUCAUUAUUUUCUUAUAAACUUUAUAAAACACACUGAAGAGUCUUAGAUUAUUUUCAAAAUGAACAUAUAGGCAUCUUAAAGACAAUAAAAUUUAUAAAUAUUGAUGUAUAGAAAUUAGAUUAUAUGGAUAUAUCUGUUAUAUACAAUUAUUAUGUCUGUUAUAUACAGAUUAUUGUUAUGAUCUGAGUUGUCUUGCCAAAGUUUAUAUGUUGAAGACCUAAACCUUGGUAUCUCUCAAUGAAACUGUAUUUGGACAUAAGAUGUUUAAAGACAUAGGUAAGUUAAAAUGGAGUCAUUAAAUGGGGUUAAAAUGGGGCCCUAAUCCAAUAUGACUUUUAACAAGAGAAGAUUAGCACAUACACACACACAGAGGGAAGAUCAUAUGAAGAUACAGAAAGAUGAUUCCCAUGUUCAAGCAAAGGACAGAGGCCUCUGCUUGAAUAAUCAUCAUCAUCAUCUCAGAGUUCUAGCCUCUGGAAUUGUGAGAAAACUAAUUUCUUUUGUUAAAGCCACACAAUCUGUUGUUUGGGCAUAGCUUUGUUAUGGCCAGCCCUAGUAAACUCAUAAAUAUAUAACUAAAGAUUAUUUAGUUCUCAUUUUACAAAGAUGGCAAUUUUUUUUCAACUUUUAUUUUAGGUUCGGGGUACAUGUGCAAGGUUCGUUACAUGGGCAUAUUGUGUCUCACUGAGGUUUGGUGUACAAAUGAUCCUGCCACCCAGGUAGUGAGGAUAGUAACUGAUAGGCAGUUUUUCAACCAUCCCCUCCUCCAUGUGAGUGUUUCCCAGCAGCUAUCAUUUCCAUCUUGUUGCCCAUGAGUACUCAAUGUUUAGCUCCCACUUACAAUUGAGAACAUGCAGUAUUCGGUUUUCUGUUCCUACUUAAAUUCACUUGGGAUAAUACACUCUAGCUGCAUCCAUGUUGUGCAAAUACAUGAUCUUGUUCUUUUUUAUGGCUGCAUAAUAUUUCAUGGUGUAUAUGUACUACAUUUUCUUUAUCCAGUCCACUGUUAAUGGGCAUCUAGGUUUAUUUCAUGUCUUUACUACUGUGAAUGUCUUUACUAUUAUGAUGAACAUAUGCACACAGGUGUCUUUUUGGUAGAAUGUUUUAUUUUCCUUUGGGUGUAUACCCAGUAAUGGGAUUGCUGAGUUGAAUGGUAGUUCAGUUGUAAGUUCUUUGAGAAAUCUCCAAACUAUUUUCCGCAGUGGUUGAACUAAUUUACAUUCCCACCAACAGUGUGUAAGUAUUCCCUUUUCUCCACAGCCUCAUCAGCACCUGCUGAUUUUUGACUUUUUAGUAAUAGCCAUUCUGACUGGGUGAGGAUGGUAUCUCAUGGUGCUUUUGAUUUCAAAGAAGGCAAAAGUUUUGCUGAGAAUUACCAUGCAUAUGUCGCAUACACGUUUUAGUAAAAUAGCAAGCACAUAUGCAUACACAUAAUAGCCUAUGGAGGCUGCUCAGACUACAUCUAAUACAAAUUUUCAGUUUUGCUUCAAUAAGGGUGAGAUCACGAACCACCCAGUGAUAUCAGGAAAGAGCCCCUGCACUGCAUCCAGCUGGGUCAGCACUCCUGCCCUGACCGCGUUCAGUUUGCGCCAGUGGCUCCCUGCUGGAGGUCCCUAUUACUAAUCAGAGGCAUGAGCAUUUGAAAGCACUUUCUCAAUGUAGCUUUUAAAAAUGGAUUUUUUUAUUGGCUUUAUUUCCUACAUAUUUUGCAAAAUGCUUGCUAUAUACUGUUUCCUCAUUUUACGUGAUGAAAGUAAGAGAAUGAUUUUCUUGUUUUCUCUAACCUCUGUAUUUUGAUUUUGUAUUUAACUCUUCCUCAUUUUCCCACCUUCAUUCUCUGUCUUUAUCAAUGUUUUAAUGCUGCAGUGGUGCGACGAUUAUUUAAUAUCACUUUUGUGGAAUAAUUUUGUGUUUGAAGUCAUCAAUAUCAAGACAUAUCAUUGUGACAUCAAUGGUCAGUCAAAGAUUCCUAAGAACUUGACUACCCAACCUUGUGACAAAUUUGACGACUUCUCCUUUUCAAAUAUUGCCUAAUACUCAUAAACAUUUUGUUAUUUUUUUAUAUCAAAGGUGGACGUAAAAUAACAAGCAUGUCUGCUAUUUUCAUUUACAGAUUCUUUUCCUUGUAGAUGAAAGAGAUAGUUGGUUCCUCAGACUAGCAUAAGGCUGUCUUCUGAUCAUUGGCAAAUACUAAGCACCAACUUUUUAUUACCCUGAGUCACCUUUGAAUAGUAUCUUGGCUAUAAUCAUGAACUAGAUGCUAUUUCUACAUAAAGCUAAAGUAAAAAACACUUAUUUAAAAAUCUAUAGGUGAUGUACUGCGGAGUGCAUAAUUGUUUAAAGCAGCAUAGUAAAAAAGAGCUCUUUUAUCUGCUAAUGGGUAAAAAAUGGGUUGGUGAAAGUUGCUCUAGCAUCCCUGGAAACCAGUAGUUCUCAGUGCCAGAAACAAUGCAUUAACUUUUAACGUAAACUAUUUUGGAGUCCUUUGAGAACUCUAAGAACUGCUAUAUAGCCGUUGGAGUAUAUAUAUAUAUAUAUAUGGCAGUUCUUGGAGUUCUCAGAGAGAGAGAGAGAGAGAGAGAGUGUGUGUGUGUGUGUGUGUGUGUGUGUGUGUAUGUGUAUAGCGGUUCUUUGAGAGCUCAAAUAUAUAGAGAGAAUAUAUAUAUAUAUAAAUAACAGUUGGAGUAUAUAUAUACUCACAUAUAAUAUAUAUAUUCUAUAUAGAGAGAAUUACAUUAUCAUAUGUAAGCAUAAGCACAUAUUAUAUAUAAUUACAUAAGUUAUAGACAUAUAUACAUAUAAUUAUAUAUUCUCUAAAGUUAUAUAUUAUAAUAUAUAAAACUUUCAUUAGAAUCAUUACUAUAACUUACCUGAACAAAUAUGACAUGUGUGACUGAAAAUGGUUCACCUCCCUGGCAAAUGUGGCACACAUGAUGGACAGCGGGAGAAUAGAACUCCACUGUCUCUCAGCUGUGAUCUAUCCUGCCUCUUUGUAAUCUUGACAUUAACCUUAAUUGCUAAAUUGGGGGAAAAAACAAAUGGCACUUCAGGUUAUCCUCUCUUUGGGAGUCUUCCACCCAAAAAGGAGGCUUCAAAUAUCAAUUGGCUGAUAUACUCUAAUGGCUGCUAUUUCCUAAGCAGAUGCCACUGAAUUUCAUAUAAUUACCCUGACUCUACUAUCCAUAAUGAUUUUUAAGCCACUGAUUUUGAGCUAUCCAUUUUGAUUUUGAUGGAAGUGAGCUCAUCUUGAAAGGGAUGUUGACAAGCAAUAGAAUAGGAGAGCUCUUUUAUCCACAUAUACUAAAUAAAUCACUGGAGUUGAACUUGAGCUGAACUGUAACGAAUGUUCACCUGAUUCUGAAAUGAGCUAUAUUGAAUCAUGAUGCCACAGAAUCACAACUUCUACAAGAAUCUCAGCUCUCUGACGUCAGUGUGUUGUCCCGCAGCUCUAGGCACCUGCUGAGGUAGGCUUGGGAAAGAGGACUAGUGCAGAAUCAUGGACCCAUUUCACCCACUACAUGAAGCCAUCCCAAUGAGAAUAACAUUCCUGAAAGGAACCCUCUUGGAUGUAUCUGGGCCAGGCACUGGAAUGAUGUUUUGAAUAAUUAUGAAAAUGCAAUUUUGUUUUUUUUCUAAAAGAGUUGUUUCUAAUCCUUUUUUGUAUUUAAGGUAGUAAACAUAAAAUUUAUAUCUGCGUUUUCUAUUCUCUUAGAUAUUAAAUUCAUUGGUGGCAGAAACCAUACUAUUUCAAAGAAAAAGUGCCCCCCGAGGCAAGGCUUUUGUGGCGGAGGAGUUGUUGGGCAUGGUAGUUGGGUUCUUCCUGCGAGCCACGGUUGCAUGCUGAAAUUUGUAGACAAAACUCAAAUGUCUGUCAAGCAUGCUCAUAAUUAUAUUUUAAGUGCCUCACUACCACAAAUUAUGCAGUCAAGUCUCCCAUAUUUGGGGACAUCGCAGGGGUCAGCAUGUCCAGAGUGCAAUGGAUAAGCCUUGCCCUGGGAAAACCACCUUCGUGAUCAUGGUUAUCUCCCCUGCCAGAAAGAGAUUUAAAAGAACACCUGAAGGGAAAUAAGAAGAGAAACAGAAUAUGAAGAGGAUUCAACCAAAUAGAGCCAAUGAAGGAGACAGAGCAACUUAAAUAAUAAGAGCAAUUUUAAAAAAUGGGACAAAAAGGAAAGGAUACUCAGUGCAUAGUUGAUGGCUUAAGAAAAUAAGAUUUUUUUAUAUUAUACUUUAAGUUCUAGGGUACAUGUACACAACAUGCAGGUUUGUUACAUAUGUAUACAUGUGCCAUGUUGGUGUGCUGCACUCAUUAACUCGUCAUUUACAUUAGGUGUAUCUCCUAAUGCUAUCCCUCCCACUUCCCCCACCCCAUGACAGGCCCUGGGGUGUGAUGUCCCUCACCCUGUGUCCAAGUCUUAUUGUUCAGUUCCCACCUAUGAGUGACAACAUGCAGUGUUUGGUUUUCUGUCCUUGUGAUGGUUUGCUCAGAAUGAUGGUUUCCAGCUUCAUCCAUGUCCCUACAAAGUAGGACACGAACUAAUCCUUUUUAUGGCUGCAUAGUAUUCCAUGGUGUAUAUGUGCCACAUUUUCUUAAUCCAGGCUAUCGUUGAUGGACUUUUGAGUUGGUUCUAAGUCUUUGCUAUUGUGAAUGGUGCCGCAAUAAACAUACAUGAACAAAAAAAGUCCUUUUUUCAUGAUGUUCUCUUAUUUCUUGCUGAAAUAAAUGAAAAGAUUCAGUAUGUCCAAGUAUCCUUUAUAGCUAGGACCAGUGGUAUAGGAAGCUAGCCUCAAACUGUUUAUAAUAAAUAUGCAGGGAAAUCCAGAUAUUAGAAAGUCCAAUGAUAAAUCCAGUAUAAAUUUAUCAUAAUACAUAUUAAAAAAUAAAGCAAAUAAAAGCACCAAAAAGCCAACUAGAGCUAACAAACAAGUUUGCCAGAUCACAGAAUACAAAAUGAACAUAUAAAAAUAAAUAAAACCCAGUCACAAUAGUAUCAAAGACAAUAAAAUACUUAAGAAUAAAUUUAACAAAAGAAGUGUAACACUUGUAUGCUGAAAACUACAAAAUAAUGAUGAGAGAAAUUAAAAAUCUAAAUGAAUCAAGACACAUUCUAUAUUUAUGGUUGGAAGUCACAAUAUGUUAAAAUACCAUUUCUACCUUAAUUUAUCUGUCAAUUUCAACAGAAUCCAUUUCAAAGUCGCUGUGAGCUUUUUUUGUAGAAAUUAAAUGUUGAUCCAACAAAUUUAUACAGAAAUGAAAGUACUUGAAGCUUGAACCGUUUUCAAAAAAAUGAACAAAGUUGUAGGACUCAUAUUGCCUAAUUUAAAAAAUUACUAUAAGGUUGUAAUCAAGACAUUAUGAUAUACAUAAAGGAAUAGGUUAGAUCAGUGAAACAGUGUCAGAGUCAAGAAAUUUACCCCUACAUUCAUGGUCAAUUGCUUUCCGAAAAAACUGCCAAUUCAAUUCAGUUUGGAAAAGAUUGUCUUUUUACCAAAUGGUGGCAAGACAAUUUAAUAUCUACAUAAAAAAAUAAGAAGAAGAAGGAGAAGGAGGAUGAGGAGGAGGGGAUGGAGGAAAAGCUUCAUCCUUACCUCCUCAUGCCAUACACAGAAAAGAACUCAAAAUGCAUUACAGACCUAAAUGUAAAAUCCAAUAAUAGAAAGCUUCUAAAAGAAAACACAGGAGAAAAUCUAUAUGACCUUGAGUUAAACAAAGAGUUUUAGACGUGACAGCAAACACACAAUCUAUAAAAGAAAAAGAAAAAAUAAAUUAUAUUUCAAUAAAAUUAAAACAUUUUGUACUUCCAAAGAUACCAUUCAGAAAAUAAAAAGACCAGUUACAGACCAGGCAAAAACAUUUCCAAAUCGUAUAUCUGAUAAAAUACUUGCAGCUUAAAUGUAUUAAGAACUCUUAUAUCUCAGUAACAGACAACUCUAUAUUAAAAUGGACAAAAGGGUUUUUUUUAACAAAGAAGACAUAUGCAUGGUUAAUAAGCACAUAAAAAGGUGUUCAACAUCAUUAAUCAUUUUGGCAGUUUCUUAAAAAGUAAACUAUGAGCUUAUCAUAGAUUCCUACAAUUUUUCUCCUAGAAAUCUACUCAGUAGAAUAUGUGUAUCCACACGAGGACUUGGACAUAAGCACAUACUGCAGAAUUAUUCGUAAUAGCCAAAAAUGGCAACGUUCCAAAUGUCUAUCAACUGAUGAAUGAACCAACAAAAUGUGGUAUAUCUAUGCAGUGAAAUGGUAAUCAUGAUAAAUGACAUGAAUGAACUGCUGACAUAGUCCAUGACAUGGAUAAAGCUAAACUAUACUAAGCCAGGCAUUGGAAAACUUUUUUCUUAAAGGGCCAAAUAGUAAAUGCUUUAGGCUUUUCAGGUCCUAUUGUCUCUGUCAAUAACUCAAUUCUAUUGUUCCACAAAAGCAGCCAUAGACAAUGCAUAAACACAUGAGCAUGGCGUGUACCAUGAAAACUUUACAAAAAGAGACAGCAUGCCCACAACCCAUAGUUUGCCCCAAUCUGUGCUAAGUAAAAGAAAGAAAAUGCAAAAGUCUACAUAUUAUAUUAUUCCAUUUACAUUACAUAUCCAGAAAAGGCAUAUUACAAGAAUAGAAAACGGUGGAUUCCUGGGUCUGGAUGAGAGAACUGAGAUUGACUGGAAAUGGACUUGGGGAAAGUUUUAGGGGGAUAUAGUAAUUUUGUAAUCAUGGAUUAUGGUGAUUCCAGCACCGCUAUAUAAAUUUACUAAAUAUCAUUAAAUUUUCCACUUACAAUGAGCAAAUUUUGUGGCAUGUAAUUUAAACCUCAAUAUAGCUGUAAUGAAUAAACAAAAAGAAAAAUCAAGACUAAAUAAAAUAAGCAAUUGUUCAAUUCCUAUCAUUGGAAAAUGGAAAAGUAAGAAAUAUUUACAGAAAAUAACUUAAAUGUCCUUCUUGCUACUGUUGUAAGAAAAAGCAAAUAUUGGCAGUUAAUUAUGAAAAUAUUUCUCAUGAACUCAUGACCAAAAAUGAAGAGAAAUUUCAGAAAAUUUGCCUGCUCUGUCUGAUUGAUUUGUCGGCUUCUGAAUGAUCCUCUCCAGUCUCUCGAUAACUAGCAAGAUUUACAAGCUCUGCCAAUGUCAAUUGUCACCCACGUUGCAGAAUAUUCAGCAUAGUCUGAAGACCCUGGUCAAAGGGGAAAAUAUAAUAGAUUUUCAAUAAGUUGGUGUUGACAACUAGUAAAAUGACUAUACUUUUAAAAUUUAAUUAAUAUAUGUAAAAGUAGUAGUAGCUGAACUGUCAUAUUCUG